GAGUAGUAAAUGUUUUGGACAGGAAACUUAAAGAAUUUGGCGGUAUAUAUUCUAUUUAGAGGAAUAUGUUUUUUAAUUGAUAAUCCACAUGUAUUUUACUUAAAAUAAUUUAUUUUGUAUAUCUCCGUCUUAAAAAAAUUUUUUAAAAUAUUUUUUAGUU
rnacentral:rRNA from 1 species